UUUGUGGGGUACUUUUGCUAAUUUUUUCCGCAGAAUGUAUCUUCCAAUAAAUCUCUCUCUUGAUAAAAAUAAGGGUGCAAAAGAUGGUUGAAAUAUGUUAUAAUUGUUUAUUUUUAUAUAUAUUUUUUUAUUUUUAGGAAUUUUUUUUAUAUUUUUUUAGAUUUUAAAAUUUAAGUUUAAUUGUUAAUACAAUUAAAUUUGUUAAUGUGAUAUUUUGAAAUUAGUAAUGAACUUGGAUUUAAC
rnacentral:lncRNA from 1 species